CCAAUAGCGUAUAUUAAAGUUGUUGCAGUUAAAAAGCUCGUAGUUGAAUUUCGGGAUCAAUAUAUCGGUCGUGCCUUCGGUAUGCACUGGUAUUAUUGAUUUCUACCUUCUGACGAACCAUGAUGUCAUUAAUUUGGUGUCAUGGGAAAUCAGGACUGUUACUUUGAAAAAAUUAGAGUGUUUAAAGCAGGCACACGCUUGAAUACAUUAGCAUGGAAUAAUGAAAUAGGACGUUUGACCCUAUUUUGUUGGUUUCUAGGAUCGACGUAAUGAUUAAUAGGGAUAGUUGGGGGCAUUAGUAUUCAAUUGUCAGAGGUGAAAUUCUUGGAUUUAUUGAAGACUAACUACUGCGAAAGCAUUUGCCAAGGAUGUUUUCAUUAAUCAAGAACGAAAGUUAGGGGAUCGAAGACGAUCAGAUACCGUCGUAGUCUUAACCAUAAACUAUGCCGACUAGGGAUCGGAUGAUGUUAAUUUUUUAAUGACUCAUUCGGCGCCUUACG
rnacentral:rRNA from 1 species